ACUUACAAUUUUUUUAUUCAUAGGAGAUUUGUAAAAAAAAUAGAGAAAAUCGCAAAAAGCAAGUAAUUCCUCAUACCGGUGGUUCUAAACCUAUGUCAAGAAGAAGACAUGAGAUGUUUUUGGAAACUGGACAGCUGCCUAGUCGGGGAAAGUUAUACAUUGAUACUCAUAAAAGAAAGGAUGGAUCAUUUGUAAAUGAUGCGGCAAAGGCUAUAUCGUGUUAGGCCCAGAGCAUUUUGGGAGGGUGCGAUGCAUGGGUUUAGGAGCAGCUCCUACUAACUCAUUUAGAAAUACAAGAUUUCAACUUUCGGAUUUAAGCAUUGCUUCAUCUAGUGCUGCCACAUCAUCAACAUCUUCUGAUUAGUGGCAACAAAAGUACACUAAUUUAGAAUCCCAAAUUCAAACCACCUUGGGUGCACUAAAAGCCUACAUGAUAAUGAAGGAAGGAAAGAUCCCUGAUGAAUUAACUACCUUCUUUGAUCCUCAACCACAACAAACCGGUGAUGCAAAUGAGCCCGAGUCUUCUAUGGGUACAAGAGGAUCAUCUGGUGGUAGCAACAUUUAGGGUGUUGAUGAUGUUUUUUAGGAUGAAACUAUUUUAGUGUAUUAUGAACUUUGAGUAAGUAUGGAUUAAGUUGUAAUUGUUUCAAUUUAAAUUGCUUUUAUG